UGUUUUUUCAGAUAGUUUAAGCCUGACUGUGACCAGUAAAUUGAAAAUUAGAUAAUGAGAUUCCUUGAUAAUUAGGAAAACAGGCUGUGAAGACUUACACAUUUCCUUGCCAUUUAUAGUUUUAAAUGUGCAUUAUCAUUUAUGUGUAUGAUAUAUGUCAGGGUAUAAGGAGGUCAGAAGCAUCUGAUACCCUAGAUCUGGAGUCUGAGGCUGUUGUGAUGCAUGAUGUCGGUGCUGGGACUCAAAUUCAAGUCUUCUGCAAAACAUGCAAAUGAGCGUUCCGGGCACAUGAACCUCCGACCCUCUAUCUGAGAACCGCAGUCUCCCAGCCACACCACAGGACCAGGAGGUGGAUCACCGCAGAGGAUUAAAGACCCUAAGACUUUACUUUGGGUGACUCUGGGAUGAUGAAACAGUAAAACAUUCCCAACACAAAUAAAUAAAUAAAUAAAAUGUCUUGCUGCUU